AACCAAUGAAUGAGCAUUUGAGAGAAGGAACAGGAACAUAAGAUCGCAGAUCACAGGUGAAGGAGUGUAUACGCACAGCACCUCAAACAUGACUAGAUUAUUAUACUUCAUAUGUCUUCUCCUUAAACAGUGUGUGUAUGCUGUGUUUGUACUGCGUGUGUCUCAACCAGAGUCAGCAGUGAGAGUUCAGCCUGGACACUCUACAACUCUUCCGUGCUUCACACCAGAUGAUGGACACUUUAAAGUGUUCUGGUUCAAAAUACAAAACAGUUCUGCUCCAGUUUUUGUGGCUUUGGCUGAAUCAGACAAAACUGCCAUAAUAAUUGGAGACAAAUUUCAGGAUCCCACAAAGUAUACAUUAAGAUGGAACAAGCUCAGCUUCAGUCUCUCAGUACUGAACAUGGAGCAAACAGACAUCGCUGUGUACUACUGUGGGAUUAUUAUUUAUCGAGAGAUGUAUUUUGGAAAUGGAACAAGACUGAUGUUUGAAGAGCAUUUUAACGGGACAGAAAAAAAUAAGGAAAAGGAAGAUGACUGCAGGAAUCAGUUUGUCUUUGUUUGGCCAACACUGAUAACAAUCAUUGUGCUGUCCAUACUUCUCAACAUCAUUCUGUUCUACAUCUUAAAGAAACAUAGAGCAGGCAUUUCACAAACUAACGCCAGUCAAAAUGAAGAGAUGGUAAACUCAGCUGCUAAGCGAGGGACACAUUCGUGA